UUGUGGGAAAUAAUUCAAAGAAAGAAAAUGACGAAAGCCUUCAAACUACAAUAUGAGAAUCUACCAAAAGGUUUGUGUUCGCCUCAUGAUGUUUGUCUGAAUGAAGUAAAUCGACCGAAAAACAGAUACAAGAAUAUCUGUGCAUUUGACCAUACCAGAGUUAAAUUAGAGAUUGAAAACAAUGAUCCUACUUCCGAUUAUGUCAAUGCCUGUUAUAUCACCGGGUAUGGUAACACAAAGAAUAAAUAUAUAGCUUCACAAGGUCCAAACGAUGUUAAUAUUAACGAAUUUAUGAGGAUGAUAUGGGAUGUGAAGUCAGGAACAAUUGCUAUGGUUACCAAUCCACAAGAACUCGGUCAUGUAAAGUGUUUGAAAUAUUGGCCGACGAAUGGAAAACUGAAAACAUUCAAGAAAAUUUCUGUGAAACUUUUAGCAGAAGAUGUCUUUGCCCAUUUCAUUAUCAGAACAUUGCAGAUAACUAAAGAAGGAUGUAAUCCUCGGACCAUUAAACAUUACCAUUAUACGUCCUGGCCUGAUAAAGGAGUUCCUGCUAAUGCAUCAUCAUUGGUAGAAUUCAGAAACAAGGUGAACAAAUCACCAACAUCACAUCCUGGACC